CAAGCAAGCCAAGGACCAUAUGUUUUUUUGUGUUACACUUUCAGCAUCUAAGCUUAUUAUAUUCAACACAAGGAGAAAGUCCCCGGAAAACAAAAUAUCUUCUGUCCAAUGAUUAAAGAUUAGGGCAGUGGGGUAUUUAGUAAAGCAACUUUGUUUGUUUGUUUUUUUCAUAAUAAAAGUAAUAUGGUCACCCUAUAAUAAUGGGGCAACUUAAUGGGGCUUACUCUGGCUUGUUU
rnacentral:RNase_MRP_RNA from 2 species